rnacentral:rRNA from 1 species
UACGUAGGGGGCAAGCGUUGUCCGGAAUCAUUGGGCGUAAAGAGCGUGUAGGCGGCCCGGUAAGUCCGCUGUGAAAGUCCAGGGCUCAACCCUGGGAUGCCGGUGGAUACUGUCGGGCUCGAGUCCGGAAGAGGAGUGUGGAAUUCCUGGUGUAGCGGUGAAAUGCGCAGAUAUCAGGAGGAACACCAAUGGCGAAGGCAGCACUCUGGGACGUGACUGACGCUGAGGAGCGAAAGCGUGGGGAGCGAACAGG